CCCUUAGAUGUCCUGGGCCGCACGCGCGCUACACUGAUGCAUUCAACGAGUUUUACCUUGGCCGAGAGGCCUGGGCAAUCUUUUAAACCUGCAUCGUGAUAGGGAUAGAUUAUUGCAAUUAUUAAUCUUGAACGAGGAAUUCCUAGUAAACGCAAAUCAUCAAUUUGCAUUGAUUACGUCCCUGCCCUUUGUACACACCGCCCGUCGCACCUACCGAUUGAAUGGUCCGGUGAAGCCUCGGGAUUGUGGCCAGUUCACUUUAUUGGGAGUUGGCUGUGAGAACUUGUCUAAACCUUAUCAUUUAGAGGAAGGUGAAGCCGUAACA
rnacentral:rRNA from 1 species